CGGACGGGUGAGUAACGCGUGAGAAUCUGCCCUCAGGAGGGGGAUAACGGUUGGAAACGACCGCUAAUACCCCAUAUGCCUAUUGGUGAAAUGAAUUUCGCCUGAGGAUGAGCUCGCGUCUGAUUAGCUAGUUGGUGAGGUAAUGGCUCACCAAGGCUUCGAUCAGUAGCUGGUCUGAGAGGAUGAUCAGCCACACUGGGAGACUGAGACACGGCCCAGACUCCUACGGGAGGCAGCAGUGGGGAAUUUUCCGCAAUGGGCGAAAGCCUGACGGAGCAACGCCGCGUGAGGGACGAAGGGUUCGGGGGCUAGCCUCCUUUUAAAAGGAAGAAGAUAUGACGGGUACUUGAGGAAUAAGCCACGGCUAAUUCCGUGCCAGCAGCCGCGGUAAUACGGGAGUGGCAAGCGUUAUCCGGAAUUAUUGGGCGUAAAGCGUCCGCAGGCGGCUUUUCAAGUCUGCUGUUAAAGCGUGGAGCUUAACUCCAUCAUGGCAGUGGAAACUGAAAGGCUUGAGUAUGGUAGGGGCAGAGGGAAUUCCCGGUGUAGCGGUGAAAUGCGUAGAUAUCGGGAAGAACACCAGUGGCGAAGGCGCUCUGCUGGGCCAUUACUGACGCUCAUGGACGAAAGCCAGGGGAGCGAAAGGGAUUAGAUACCCCAGUAGUC
rnacentral:rRNA from 1 species